rnacentral:lncRNA from 1 species
AGCUUAUUCAAAAAAUAGCAUAAAAUAUGAGCAGGUUCUUUCAGGUUCGUGUUGCUUAGUUUCUAGUUUUCUACGUUGUGUACUAUUAUCUCUCUGUUUGUCUUUUUUUCUUUUUUAGCCAUGGCGUUGUCAGUUUGUUUUCGAUCUAUGAGUUUGAAUGAUCCUCCUGUAUCUUUCGCCCCUCUUCUUUAGCUUGUUUUUAAAUAGCUGCAAUCAUUUUCAUACGAAAGGAAAGUGUUAUUUAAAUACUUGUGUGUAUUGUGUAUCUAUAUAUGAGAUCGUGAUUCUAGAGUGCUGUUAAUUUCAUGUUCAACUUUAAAUUACAUGUUCCUUGUGUCCAUUUGUCGCAACUAAGAAGCCCUGUUCAUAGUUUGCUAUUAUCAUGUCUUAAUGUUUUUGGUCUUGAUGCAAAGUAUAUUCAUAUGAUUAUCCCCGACUUAGAUCGUGACAAACUGAACAUAUAUCAGGUUAUUUUUCAUGCUUUAUAUUUCGUAGAUAAAUGCAUUUUUG